AAAACUAGCUACUGAAUCAUAUAUAAUACCGAUCAAUUUUUUUUCGUUUUCCAUUAAAAUAUGCUCAUUUUUAAUAUUCGCCCACCAAUGUUAUUAAGUUUGGUUACGCCUUUUUCAAUGUUAGCCCCACAAGUACUCGAAAAAAAGUAUCGCCCAAUACUUUUCGCCUGUUUUUUGACAUUCUUUAAAUUUCGCCUUCUGCUUUUCGCCAUUGUUUUCAUUUUUAUUCAGUAUCGUCUUUUACUUUACGCCAAGUUUAUGUUUUGAUUUUAAUUAAGCCUUUCACUUUUGAAAUAAUUUCGAUUAUUCUCUUGCACACAAAAAAUAAACAUGGUUUUACAGAAUGUUUUGCACUUUCCAUUUGAAAAGAGCUCUGAUUUCUUAAAAAUGAAAAUUUAUUUGGUCUAAAUCAAAGUGAUUUUUUUCGUUUGAAAGUUUUUUUUCCAUGUUCCCAUUGUAAAACUAAAAGUUCUUCCAUUCAACCUUAAAAUAGUAGAACUGUCAAAUAACUCAAUGAUAAACUAAGCAAAAAGAAAACAAAAAGAAAGACAAAUGAAGAUAAGUUUCCGUUACGCAUCGGCACUAUAGCAUGGUAAAAAUAUAGAUGUGCAUUCUCAACCUAUCACCGUCGAGCUGUCAACGCCUCUCCCCUCACCAGUUCAAACGAUCACAACAGCGGAUACGACAGCAAAACUGUUGCUUUUCAAAAUUAUGCGGGAAAGUGUUUUCGGAUGUUCUUUAAAUUCAAUGCCUCGAAUUCGUGCAGUCCAAAUCAAUAUACAAAUAUCGGAGGACAUAGGAAAUGUAUGGCGCAAUGUUCCCAGACGGCUUCGAUUUCCAACCAAACCCCAGCCAGGGACCGGAUCUCGUUCUGGGGCAAUCACAGUGGCCACCGUGUUGAAAUGCUGCAACCUACAUCAUCUAGAAAAACUGCUUGAAAUCAUGAAAUAAAAAUAAAAGUAUCAUUGCGAUUAGAUUAUUUAAAUUUAUAAUGGAAAGAUGAUUGAAGAGUACGAGGGGGAAUGGGACAGUUUCUUUAAUAACGAAUGAAUAAUUUCGUUUCUGAAUGAAAAUAUUUCGCCCUAUUUUUUACAGUGUGAACAUUUUUAUUUGACAGUUGUACAAUUUAGUUUUGAAUGUUUUAAACUUUUAAUUUCAGAGCGGCAUGCGACUUUUGAAUCAUGUUGAUUACAAAAGUUGGCGUACUUUUAUUUUAAACAUAUCGAACUCUCUACGAAAAAGAACCAACGCAACUUUUUGAAUUUACCAAUGGUUUUUUUAAUUUUAAUAAUGGUUUUUCUUUCUGUGUGUGAGUAAUAUUAUAAGUUUCAAAUGUCCCAAUAAUAUUCAUUGCUAUAAAUAGUGGAAAUAUAUUAUGCGGCAGGUUAUGCAAUCAAGAAAAACUUGUUUGGUUGAUUUCUCAACGAUUAGUUUUCACCGAGGAUUUCACAAACAGGACUGUACAAUGGUACUGUGGACAGGCAGACAGGCUGAGGAAUUGUAAAGAACAUCUCGACGAAUUUAUCGCACCGUAUAAGGGUUUUUCUAUUCCUAACCACUCAGCAAUAAAAAAAUGAGUUGAAUUGAUAAGAAUCAUGUGAGGUGAUUGUAGUGCUCAUAGUGAUAUGGAAUGAAGUAUUAAUGUAGCUAGAGAACGGGUACAGAGUUACUGCCCAAAGUAAUCUAUAUAAGCAGCAAGAUGUAUAAUUGUAUGUAUACCUAUGUUUUAUGCAGUGUCCACAGUUCGAGCUUGUUACGCGUUCUCGAUUACGCCAGUAAUAUCAGUGUGUUACGCCAGUGUGUCAUUACACACUGGUGGUAUAAGUACCAUGGUACAAGAAUCUUGAAAUGAGUACCGUACCGAUUAUUGUCUUUAUCAAAGAUAGUCGUGUAAUAAUUUUCUUGUCCUCUUGUACCAUGGUACAAGUACUCCUUAGCAUAAAAUCGACGUGUAUUAUGUUUAUAUUACGAGCUACAUCACAUAACAGGAUAUACCGAUUUAAAAAGCCAUACAGUGCCUUCGCGUUUAUGGCAAAAGAUGAUUAUCACCAUUUCGAUUUUUUAUUGCAAAUUUUUUUCAAUCGCUUUACAUUCCAACUGGAACUUGGCCUGAUAUUCAACUUCAACUUCAACAAAAAUGAGAAUAACUACUAGAAAUUGAUUUAUUUAGGUGUUUUAGCGCAGUCUCCUUUGUUAGUUAGUUAGCCUUCUGAGCAAAGGAUAGGCGUAGGAUUGACGGAAAAUGGGAGUUUGAUUUUCGGUCCGGCCUAGGAUGUUUCCGGGUGGGAAACAUUCUCGGCUUCAGUUAGAGUAUAGAGCCAUUAAAGAAGAAGAAGAAGAAGGUGUUUUAGCGCAACGGUUAGACAAGGGCAUUUCAGAAUUUAUAGAAUA